rnacentral:rRNA from 1 species
GACGAACGCUGGCGGCGUGCUUAACACAUGCAAGUCGAGCGGUAAGGCCCUUUCGGGGGUACACGAGCGGCGAACGGGUGAGUAACACGUGGGUGACCUGCCCUCAGCUCUGGGAUAAGCCUGGGAAACCGGGUCUAAUACUGGAUAUGACUCCAUGACGCAUGUUGUGGGGUGGAAAGCCUUGUGCGGCUGAGGAUGGGCCCGCGGCCUAUCAGCUUGUUGGUGGGGUGANGGCCUACCAAGGCGACGACGGGUAGCCGGCCUGAGAGGGCGACCGGCCACACUGGGACUGAGACACGGCCCAGACUCCUACGGGAGGCAGCAGUGGGGAAUCUUGCGCAAUGGGCGAAAGCCUGACGCAGCGACGCCGCGUGGAGGAUGAAGGUCUUCGGAUUGUAAACUCCUGUUGACCGGGACGAAUGGGCCUCGACCUAACACGUCGGGGCAGUGACGGUACCGGUUGAGGAAGCCACGGCUAACUCUGUGCCAGCAG